rnacentral:rRNA from 1 species
UACAGAGGCCCCAAGCGUUAGGCGGAAUCACUGGGCUUAAAGCGUGUGUAGGCGGACGCCUAAGUGUCUUGUGAAAUCCCACGGCUCACCCGUGGAACUGCUGGGCAUACUGGGCGUCUUGGGCCAACUAGGGGCAGCCGGAACAAGCGGUGGAGCGGUGAAAUGCGUAGAUAUCGCGUGGAACGCCGAAGGUGAAAACAGGCUGCUGGGGUUGCGCCGACGCUGAGACACGAAAGCCAGGGGAGCAAACGGG